AAGUCUUUCACCAACUACAUCAUUUUUUUCGGUUUCUUUUGUGCAUUAGGAGUGAUGGAAUUGGUUCAGUCAUUCCAGUUAAUUUUUUCAGUAUUACGAAUUGUUCAGGUGGUCGAAUGUUCCAGCUAUCGGUUUACUCCAGCCACCCUCACUGAGCAGAUAUGAAAACAAGAGCCGCUGAGAGGUUUGAACUAUUCGUCUGCUGCUUUUAGUGUUUGCGGUGCUGUUCCAAGUUGUUCUCUUCGCUUAUUCCAAGGCCAUCAGUCGUGGCAAGAACCAGUAAAAUCAUACAACUUCAGGCAUUUAAGUACUUCAACAACUCGAUUACUCUUUUUACUGGCAGUGGUAGUGUUCCAGAGAGAGAGAGAGAGAGAGAGAGAGAGAGAGAGAGAGAGAAUUAUUAUUAUUAUUAUUAUUAUUAUUAUUAUUAUUAUUAGUGUUAUUAUUAUUAUUUAAUAGAAAAAAAGUAGAUUUGUUGUUUACAUGAAUACAUAAAAAAAAAAACUUUAAUUAUUUAAUAGAAAUAAAAAAAAAAUACGAAGAUUUGUUGUUUACAUGCAUACAUUAAAAAAAACUUUAAUUAUUUAAUAGAAAUAAAAAAAAAUACGUAGAUUUGUUGUUUACAUGAAUACAUUAAAAAAAAAACUUUAAUUAUUUAAUAGAAAUAAAAAAAAUACGUAGAUUUGUUGUUUACAUGAAUACAUUAAAAAAAAACUUUACUUACCCUAUUUUAUAAUACACAUUUCAUACAAAAAACAGACCAUUGUGUUCACCUGCACCACGACGCACUACCAAGCAUGAGAAGCCAAAACUAAAAUAAAUAAAUAAAUAAAUAAAUAAAUAAAUAACUGCCGAUGUUAAAAUAUUUCAUUCAAAAACUUGAUAACUGUACUUGAUGUCAGUGGCGUUUGAAAAAAUAUAUAUUUCUCUUACACCACAACAUUCUAUUAAAGUCGAAGGCAGGAACCACAACAGUAAAAACUGACUGUAGACAUGAGAACAACUCCAAGAACUCGAAUACUUCUUUUAAUGUCAGUAGUGUUUGAAGAAUGCAUGCUUCACCUCCACAGCCACAUUUCAUUAACCUCGCAGGGGGAAAAAAAAGACAAUUUCUGGAACUCAUUACUCUUUUUGUCAUUAGCGACUAAGAAAAUAAUCGACGACACUUACACUGCGUCCUAUCAAGGUUGGUGGAGAAGCCAUUGGACUAAAGAAAACCAAGAGUCCACUUCAUUACACCUCUCCAGUCAGUGAUACCUUUGGAAAUUCUCAACUUUUCACCACAAAACGUUCCAUCAAGAAGCAGUUGGCCAAAAUAAUAAUGUCAGAAGUAAGACAAAGCUUUGAAGAAAGAACAUCUGUCAUAAAGUGUUACUGGAGGCACGAAAAUGUCAAAGAAGUGCAAAGACAAUUCAGAAGACACUUUGACAGGGAUCCACCCAGGUGACGCACCAUUGCUCGCAUCACAGCUAAAUUUGCAUCAACCAGCAGCAGCAGCAGCAGCAGCAUGUCAGUAGUAGCAGGAGUAGUGAAUGGUCACUCGUAUGUGGUGACUACUUGGACUAUUAGGCCGCCCUUGUAGUGUGCUGGACUAUUGGUCAACAAGGAGCCCUGAAAGUUACGUGGUACAACUAUUUCGGCGAUAGUAAUGGCUGUAAGUAGUAGUAGUAGUUGUAGUAAUAGUAGUAGUAAUAGUAGUUAUGCGUGUAAUGUCAAUAUGGUCCAUUUUGUAACUGUAAUUGGAAAAAUUCUCGACUUUGUGUUUCUUAAAGGCGUGACGUAAUUAGAGAAAACGUAUGUAUUUUAAGGGACACUAGCCUGUACUUCAUUAUUUCUGUUUAUUGCUAUUAUAGGAGUUUCUUGAUAGUUUUACUUGUAUAUACUAUUUAAAUCUACUAUUCUAUUUAUUAUGUGUAAGUGGGAGAUGUCAGAGAAAGAGCCAUAUUUAUAAUUUGCAUUUGUAAGGUCAAUAAGGUCUAUUUUAUUAAGUAAAUUUAUAAGAUGCUCGACCUUAUGUUUCUUAAAUGAGUGACGUAAUAUAGAGAAAACGUGUCUUUUAAGGAACACUAACCUAUACUUCAUUAAUGUGGUUAUUGUUGUUAUACGAGUUUUCCGGUGUAUAUACUAUUUAAAUCUACUAUUUUGUGUUGUAUAAUACUAUGUUUGAAUGGUAGAACUAAGAGAAAGAGUCAUAUUUGUAAUGUUUACAUGUAAGGUCAAUAUGGUCUAGUCUGUAACUGUAAUUUGAAGGAUUUUCAACCUUUUGUUUCUUAGUAAAUGACGUAACUAGAAAAAACGAAUCUUCU